UAUUGUUACCUACAUUUUUUUUAAUUGCAUUUAUGCUGUUUUGAAUCGCUUAAUUGGCUAACAAAACCUGUAUAUAUGUUAAGUGCAAUUACUGAAGGAAUCAUACAGCUAAACUGACUGAUUUAAUUAUUUCUACUUGAUUCAAAAUGUUCUUUUUAUAUUUGGUUAUAUUAUUUUUAAAGUGUUCUCAAUAUCCUGAAAAGGUAUGAUUAUAAUAACAGUAUUUAACCAGGGAUUAUUCUUGCAAAAGUUGAUAAAAAUUUAGGUUUUCAAGUCUUCAGAAGCUUUCCUUGUUGUUUUUGUAGCACCACGAGACCCAGGGUGGUCAUUAUGUUGUGGGAUUUAUGUGGCGUCUGUUUGUGUAGUGCUUCGGAUAUGCAUGGCGAGUGCCUGUGGCAGUUAAACCAGCAUAAAAUGCUUCGGAGUUGCAUGUUUCCUACAAAAAGCCAAGAACACGUAGGCCGAUGUUGAGUGAGGCAGAAUGCUGAUUGGUUGAAAAGUUGGCUUGAAUAGUAAAGUUUGGAGUUCUUAUCUUUAUGAAGAUCUUAUCACAAAGCAGUCACGCCUUGGUCCCUGUGACUGUAAUGACCCGCGCCUCGAUCUACUAUGAAGAUCUUAUCUACACGAAGCUUCUUAAGUUAUAAAGACUGAUGGAGAGUUCUGACUGAUGGAGACUGAUGUGAGUUAUCCGGAUACAUUCAAAAACAGUGUUUUUGUCUGAAAACGGUCCGCAUCUACACUAUCGUUUUCAGUCGUUUCAGAACACUUGAAAGUUUUUUUAAAUGGACUUACAAUGCGGUGGAGUUGUUGCUGUGACUAUAACGACCCAAACCUUUGAUUCACACCUUAUCUCAUGUCACCCUUAACGAUUAUGUUGACAGUGACCGUGAGGACAACCUCAACUAGGGGUAAACUUUUGGGACUCCUCUCUCUCUUUACUCCUGAGAGGUGAAACUUCUUCAUGAACCAAAAAGAAAUCCAGGUUCUGUAAAAUGCCCGAAUUUGCAUAAAGUUGCAAGUUUUUCUUUUACAGUGCGGCAAAUUUUGUCCAUAAACUGAUUUGUCUUUUAAAAAUUUAGAAGCGGACACACUUUCUUAAUGCCGCUCAUUUUCAGACAAUAACUAGAUGUUGGAAGAGUACUUGCGCCACAUCAGAAGCUUCUAUUUUUGUAGAAGCGAUUUCUGUGCCGCUUCAUGCCUAAAAUCAAAAUUUUAGUGGCUCGUGGUGCUGUUACGCCUGUACGAGCCACAGAAAGAAGAAUAGAACUAGAAUUACUAGAAUAGAAUCUAGUUUUUAAAAAAUCCUUCUAUAAAAAUCAUGAUUUAUACUUGCUCUACAGCUCCUUAGAGACCCAUUCAUUCUGUACUAUCUUAAAGUUCAAACAGUGGGAGUUCCCUGCAGGGGCUGAACUUGAACAACCAACUUGAGCACAUAAAUCUUCGAUCCACUUAUUUCUGACACUGCCCCCUGGUGAUUGUAUACAGGGACAGCAUGCAAACGCGGGCCUGCAUAGCUCUCUUCCUUUGGGGCCUGUAUUCAUGCUGGUAACCUCACAUAAAUCCCAGCGGUGCUUUUACAUAACUCCAAUCCGAACAAUUUUAACAAGCCACAAAACU